UCACUACUUGCGUAGGCAGUCUGGCUAGAGUCCCCACCAUUACGUGCUGGUAACUAACCACAGGGGUUGCGCUUGUUGCGGGACUUAACCCAACACCUCACGGCACGAGCUGACGACAGCUAUGCACCACCUGUCACCCAGUCCGAAGAGGGCCCCAUCUCUGAGGCUUUCCGGGUGAUGUCAAACCCAGGUAAGGUUCUUCGCGUUGCAUCGAAUUAAUCCGCAUGCUCCGCCGCUUGUGCGGGCCCCCGUCAAUUCCUUUGAGUUUUAGCCUUGCGGCCGUACUCCCCAGGCGGGGCGCUUAAUGCGUUAGCUACGGCACGGAACCCGUCGAUCGAGCCCCACACCUAGUGCCCAACGUUUACGGCGUGGACUAC
rnacentral:misc_RNA from 1 species